AGAGUUUGAUCCUGGCUCAGAUUGAACGCUGGCGGCAGGCUUAACACAUGCAAGUCGAGCGGAGAUGAGGUGCUUGCACCUUAUCUUAGCGGCGGACGGGUGAGUAAUGCUUAGGAAUCUGCCUAUUAGUGGGGGACAACAUUUCGAAAGGAAUGCUAAUACCGCAUACGCCCUACGGGGGAAAGCAGGGGAUCUUCGGACCUUGCGCUAAUAGAUGAGCCUAAGUCGGAUUAGCUAGUUGGUGGGGUAAAGGCCUACCAAGGCGACGAUCUGUAGCGGGUCUGAGAGGAUGAUCCGCCACACUGGGACUGAGACACGGCCCAGACUCCUACGGGAGGCAGCAGUGGGGAAUAUUGGACAAUGGGCGAAAGCCUGAUCCAGCCAUGCCGCGUGUGUGAAGAAGGUCUUCGGAUUGUAAAGCACUUUAAGUUGGGAGGAAAGGUAGUAACUUAAUACGUUGCUACUUUGACGUUACCGACAGAAUAAGCACCGGCUAACUUCGUGCCAGCAGCCGCGGUAAUA
rnacentral:rRNA from 1 species